rnacentral:rRNA from 1 species
GAGCACGUAGGUGGGUUUGUAAGUCAGACGUGAAAGCCUUCUGUUCAACGGAAGAAUUGCAUCUGAAACUACAAACCUUGAGUGUAGGAGGGGAGAAUGGAACUUCUGGUGGAGCGGUGAAAUGCGUAGAUAUCAGAAGGAACGCCGGCGGCGAAAGCGAUUCUCUGGCCUAUUACUGACACUCAGUGUGCGAAAGCUAGGGGAGCAAACGGGAUUAGAUACCCCGGUAGUCCUAGCCGUAAACGAUGGGCACUAAGUAGAGGGAAUUACCGAUGUUCUCUCUGCCGUAGCUAACGCAUUAAGUGCCCCGCCUGGGGAGUACGGCCGCAAGGCUAAAACUCAAAAGAAUUGACGGGGGCUCGCACAAGCGGUGGAGCAUGUGGCUUAAUUCGAUGCAACGCGAAAAACCUUACCGGGGCUUGACAUGGUAGAAGUAGGAACCCGAAAGGGUAACGAACGGUAUCCAGUCCGUGACUAUCACAGGUGUUGCAUGGCUGUCGUCAGCUCGUGUCGUGAGACGUUGGGUUAAGUCCCCUAACGAGCGAAACCCUUGUUUUUAGUUGCCAGCGGGUUGUGCCGGGCACUCUAGAAAGACUGCCGUCGUCAAGACGGAGGAAGGUGGGGAUGACGUCAAGUCAUCAUGGCCCUUAUGCCCCGGGCUGCACACGUGCUACAAUGGCCGGUACAAACGGAAGCGAAGCCGAGAGGUGAAGCGAAUC